UUCUUCUUCCUGAUCGUUUGA
rnacentral:piRNA from 1 species